rnacentral:rRNA from 1 species
CCCGCACAAGCGGAGGAACAUGUGGUUUAAUUCGAUGAUACGCGAGGAACCUUACCUGGGCUUAAAUGGGAGUGACAGCUGUCGAAAGAUGGUUUUCUUCGGACACUCUUCAAGGUGCUGCAUGGUUGUCGUCAGCUCGUGCCGUGAGGUGUCGGGUUAAGUCCCAUAACGAGCGCAACCCUUACCGUUAGUUACCAUCAGGUUAAGCUGGGGACUCUAGCGGGACUGCCACCGUAAGGUGAGAGGAAGGUGGGGAUGACGUCAAAUCAGCACGGCCCUUAUGUCCAGGGCUACACACGUGUUACAACGGCCAGUACAAAGGGCAGCUACCGGGUGACCGGAUGCUAAUCUCUAAAGCUGGUCUCAGUUCGGAUCGAAGUCUGCAACCCGACUUCGUGAAGCUGGAUUCGCUAGUAAUCGCGCAUCAGCCAUGGCGCGGUGAAUACGUUCCCGGGCCUU